GUGAGAUCACAAGGUCAGGAGCUGAGAUCCAGUCCUGGCCAACAUCCAGCAAGAGAGCAGGAUCUCAGUCCAACAGCAGUAUGGAAUGGAACUUAAUUCUGACAACCACUUAGCUAUUUCCAAUAAUGAUUAAAAAAAAGUGAAAGAAGACACUACAAAAUGAAGAGAAAGGCAGAGAAGGGUAAAAAUAAAUGCAGAAACCAAAAAGAGGGACUGAAACUGUCUUUGUGAGACUAAUGAAACACCAGAAGACUAGGAUUAUGGGAAAGGCCUAAAUUCUAGGAUGUAGUUAAACAGUAACCAGCCAUUGUUCUCUAGCUUGACUCUCAUAAUUCCGUAAUGCUUAAGAGUCAUGCAGCCAGAAAUCACAGGAUUUAUAACUUCCAUAAUUCCUCCUAUAGAUAACAAUACAUUGUCAAAACCCAAGCUUGGUCUUUGAGACAUUUUGCAGACUUUUUAGUUAUGACUGACUCCACCAGGACUAAUGACUCAUAUCAAGGAACUGACUCAACUGGUGACCCCAACCCGGGAACUGACAGCAUGCUCAGACAGUAUGGACACUCCUGUGAUUUCAUGGCUAACCAAUCAGCAGCACCCAUUCCCAAUUCAUGUCUGUCAAAUUAUCCUUAAAAAUCCUGAUUUUCAAGCUCUCAAAGAAGUGGAUUUCAGAAAUGUCUCUUGUUCUUCCUCUUGGCCAGCCCUGUGAUAAUUAGUUUCUUUGCUGCAAACCUGCUGUCCUCAGUGCAUUAGCUUUUUCUGGAUAGCAGGCAAGAAGAAUCCAUUGAGCUCUUACAAAAUUCAACAUUUAUUCACAGUUUAAAGAAAUCUGUAGAAGAAUAAUUGCAAAGGAAAUACAAAUUAUGUCAAUAACCAACUCCAUGCUUAAUCAUAAUCAAUAAAAACUUUCUCACAAAUG